rnacentral:rRNA from 1 species
UACAGAGGGGGCAAGCGUUGUUCGGAAUUACUGGGCGUAAAGCGUGCGCAGGCGGUUUUGCAAGACCGAUGUGAAAUCCCCGGGCUUAACCUGGGAAUGGCAUUGGUGACUGCACGGCUAGAGUGUGUCAGAGGGGGGUAGAAUUCCACGUGUAGCAGUGAAAUGCGUAGAGAUGCGGAGGAAUACCGAUGGCGAAGGCAGCCCCCUGGGAUAACACUGACGCUCAUGCACGAAAGCGUGGGGAGCAAACAGG